rnacentral:rRNA from 1 species
AACCUGCCCUUUGCACUGGGAUAGCCUCGGGAAACCGAGGUUAAUACCGGAUACUCCAUAUUUGUCGCAUGGGCGAAUAUGGGAAAAGCUCCGGCGGCAAAGGAUGGGGCCCCGCGGCCUGUUAGCUAGUUGUGGGGUAGUGGCCUACCCAAGGCCAAUGAUGGGUAGCCGGGUUGAGAGACCGACCGGCCAGAUUGGGACUGAGACACGGCCCAGACUCCUACGGGAGGCAGCAGUGGGGAAUCUUGCACAAUGGGCGAAAGCCUGAUGCAGCGACGCCGCGUGCGGGAUGAAGGCCUUCGGGUUGUAAACCGCUUUCAGCAGGGACGAGGCCGCAAGGUUGACGGUACCUGCAGAAGAAGCCCCGGCUAACUACGUGCCAGCAGCCGCGGUAAU